UACGUAGGUGGCAAGCGUUGUCCGGAUUUACUGGGCGUAAAGAGCGCGCAGGCGGUCCGAUGCGUCGUGCGUGAAAGCCCCCGGCUCAACUGGGGAGGGUCGUGCGAUACGGUCGGACUUGAGGCCAGUAGGGGGAUGCGGAAUUCCAGGUGUAGCGGUGAAAUGCGUAGAUAUCUGGAGGAACACCGGUGGCGAAAGCGACGCACUGGACCUCUUCUGACGCUGAGGCGCGAAAGCUAGGGGAGCAAACGGG
rnacentral:rRNA from 1 species